rnacentral:lncRNA from 1 species
UGAGAGCUUCUGAAGGUAUGUCUACCAUCAUCCAAACAUCAAAACUCAGUUAGACAGCAUUGAACUAGAAGAGAAAAUAGAAUUUGGAAGGUAUUUGUGGAAGAGGAAAGUGGAGAAUGAAGAACAGGAAACAGCAAGUGGUCCAGAAAACAAACUGUCAGAUCCUGAAGUUGAAACAUGAACUGAAUCUGAAUAGAGACGAGAACCAUUAGAGAAACUAUUGGGAUAACAUUGGGCUAUCUAAAGGACAGCAAGUACGCCUUCAUUUUCAGCUCCUGACAUUAUUGGGCUGCCCUGAAAGAAACACACAGAACAUUGCCAUUCCAUGAAGUAGGCAGAAUCUAUAAUACUUUCAUUUUAUACCCUAGAAAUAUCUAAAA